AGCGAACGCUGGCGGCAGGCUUAACACAUGCAAGUCGAGCGGGCACUUUCGGGUGUCAGCGGCGGACGGGUGAGUAACGCGUGGGAACGUGCCCUCUGGUUCGGAAUAACUCAGGGAAACUUGAGCUAAUACCGGAUACGCCCUUUUGGGGAAAGGCUUGCUGCCGGAGGAUCGGCCCGCGUCUGAUUAGCUAGUUGGUGAGGUAACGUCGCACCAAGGCGACGAUCAGUAGCUGGGCUGAGAGGAUGGUCAGCCACACUGGGACUGAGACACGGCACAGACUCCUACGGGAGGCAGCAGUGGGGAAUAUUGGAAAGUGGGCGCAAGCAUGAUGCAGCCAGGCCGGGUGAGUGAUGAAGGCAUUAGGGUUGUAAAGCUCUUUUAUCCGGGACGAUAAUGACGGUACCGGAGGAAUAAGCCCCGGCUAACUUCGUG
rnacentral:rRNA from 1 species